rnacentral:rRNA from 1 species
UGCCCUACGGGAGGCAGCAGUGGGGAAUAUUGGUCAAUGGCCGAGAGGCUGAACCAGCCAAGUCGCGUGAGGGAUGACGGCCCUACGGGUUGUAAACCUCUUUUGUCGGGGAGCAAGACCCGCCUCGUGCAGGCGGAGCGAGAGUACCCGAAGAAAAAGCAUCGGCUAACUCCGUGCCAGCAGCCGCGGUAAUACGGAGGAUGCGAGCGUUAUCCGGAUGUAUUGGGUUUAAAGGGUGCGCAAGCGGACCAUCACGGCAGCGGAA